AGAAGAAAUUAUUUCAAGUCAAAUUAGUGUUGAAAGUCUGAGUAUAUCAGCUGAAAUUUGUACAGUUUAUCUCGAACUGUCAGUAAUUUUAGCGACAAUCGAUGUGAUUACAAUGAUCAUUCUUUAGAGCGAUUUUUGAAAAUUCCUCUUAUUGAAAAAGACAGGUUAUAUUCUGAAAAAAAUUAUGGAGUAAAAAAACUUGAUGAGAGCUAUGCUGCCCUAGAGAAUAAGUUCCAAUCACAAUUUGGAAUAGUACCUGAAUCUACCUACAGAAAGAUUAAUCAAGAUCAUUGUUCCAUGAUAGCUAAAGUGAAGAAAUUAUAUAACGCUGAAAGUGACAAGUAAAU